UAAGAGUUAGUUUAAUUUAAGAAUUGUUGACUGUUAAUCAAAAGGUGUUUUUACUCUUAA
rnacentral:tRNA from 1 species